rnacentral:rRNA from 1 species
AUUGAACGCUGGCGGCAUGCCUUACACAUGCAAGUCGAACGGUAACAGGUCUUCGGAUGCUGACGAGUGGCGAACGGGUGAGUAAUACAUCGGAACGUGCCCGAUCGUGGGGGAUAACGAAGCGAAAGCUUUGCUAAUACCGCAUAAGAUCUACGGAUGAAAGCAGGGGACCGCAAGGCCUUGCGCGAACGGAGCGGCCGAUGGCAGAUUAGGUAGUUGGUGGGAUAAAAGCUUACCAAGCCGACGAUCUGUAGCUGGUCUGAGAGGACGACCAGCCACACUGGGACUGAGACACGGUCCAGACUCCUACGGGAGGCAGCAGUGGGGAAUUUUGGACAAUGGGCGAAAGCCUGAUCCAGCCAUGCCGCGUGCAGGAUGAAGGCCUUCGGGUUGUAAACUGCUUUUGUACGGAACGAAAAGACUCUGGUUAAUACCUGGGGUCCAUGACGGUACCGUAAGAAUAAGCACCGGCUAACUACGUG